rnacentral:lncRNA from 1 species
GUUUUGUUGUUGUUUGCCCUGCCUUUGCUAGGCCUACGAGAAGAUCUGAUUUACUGCCUUACUCUUACCCAACCGUGGGACACUCUUGUGGCUUUAACUGUUUGACAUAUCCUUAAGAAUGGUUUUCAUUUGAUUUUUAAAGCGUAAUUGAUCAAAUGAAGGGAAGUUUACUGGCCCAUAUGCUUGACCCUUAUUUAAUGACUAGGAGCUUUUCCUGCUCUGUAACCCAUUUGUUCUUGCUGAGCUUUCUAGCUGCCUUUUCAUACUUUUAAAGUGGUUUUUGGAUGAUGUAACGCGGACUGUCCCAUUUGAUAGUGUGGAUUUAACACCGUUUACCUCAGUCCGGCUCCGACAGUUUUACCAGCUGAGGAUUUGACCCUGAUCUCUGCUGCUUUAAUUUCACACAGGCUCCUUUCCAGCAUCUCUGGUCAAGGUUAAAUGAGCAUUUCACGGCAGUCGGAGAAAAACACCGUUGGUUCAUUCUCUAGUCUACAUGCGAGCCUUGAUUUUAUUCCUGUCUGUUCAGAGAUGUCUGUGUCAAGUGCCAAGCAGCUAUCUAAACACUGAAUAUCUCCUUGUAAUAGAAUUACACAGUUCCCUUAAAACCGUGUUUGAAUUCCAAGUUUUAAGGUAGCAACAUGAAUCGGCUGUACCAGAGUGUCUGUGGUGGUAAAUGAAAGAUGAAGGUGACACACAUAUGUGACGUAGCUCCUGAGGUUAUUUUGCUACUUAUAUGUGUCGUAGCCUCUUUGUCACAUGGUUUUUAUCCUUUUCUAGUGUGAAAGUGCUGUGUGUGUACCAGCAGCAGGGCCAUCAUGUGAAGAAAUGUCAUUACGUACGUGUGAGGAGUCCUCUCUGUGAGGAAAGAUGCUCUUUUCUACAUUGCCAAAUUCCGUCUCAGACUGAUGCAGAGCGGUUUCAGAAGGUUGUGUUCAUACCUCUGCACGGGCACCUGGCCCUUGAAGAGGGAAGCUCUGGUGUGCAGCCCCCAGCUUUGCCCCAUUCCGGGUCUCAAGACAGGAGGAACUGGGAGCCGGAUUCCAAACUGAUUUGGGCUAAUGAUGUCCAUUGGCCUCAUUGCCUCUGUCAAGAACUGUAUAAAGCAACAGCUGGAAAAGCACUGAGUCCACAGCAUAUCCAGAGACCUCUUUGAUGAUUUCUACUCUUAUGCCAGUCUGUGUUUCAGUUGCUGAGCACCAUUUACAAACGCUGUGUAGUGCUGGCUGUAAGAGAAGCAGAUGGGCCGUUGUGUCAAAGGUCCAGUUCCUUCCUGAAGUUUUA